rnacentral:miRNA from 1 species
CCAGGCUGGCUCUGUGGACCUGUCUGGCCUCAAAUUCACAGAGAUCCACCUGCCUCUGCUUCCCCAGUGUUGGGAU